AGUAGGAACACCUACAAAAAGAAAAUUUCAUCCACAAGGAAGGAAUGAGAUGCAAGAAGCUAUGAUAUUUUGACUAAAAGACUACCUCAGCAAUAAAUUAUCUAAUGUAGGACUCGGAGGCCAAAACUUAUGAGAAAAACCUCCACGUGAUAUGCGUUUUAAAAAGAAAGCCCAGAAAUUACAACUCCAUACAAGUGUACAAGAGGCCAUUGUAACAUGAGCGCUACAGAAAUGGAAAAAGUGAGAUGUACUGCAGAACUUUGGAUGGAUUUAAAGCAUGUGAUGGAUGAAUGGAAAAGGGCGGCCAAGGAGCUGUUAAGUGAGGACUGAAGCCCGAGCCAGAAUCUUGGCAGCCAACAAGUGAAGACACCAGCAGAUUCUGAAAAGAUUAAACAGAUCACAAUGAGAGGAUAACUCUGGUGAUAAGGUUUCCCUGACAACUGGUGAUAAACUGGAUUACUCAGAUUAUGAAUGUCUAAACAAAGAGCAGGGAGACCAUCAGCAAAUUGCUUAUUGUUAUUAUUAUUUGUUUGCUUUUGUUGUUGUCAUUUUGUAAUUAAUGGAGACCUGAUCGUUUCUCUGCUAAGAAUCAUUUUUCUUGGCUCUCCUGUUUACUAAAUUUAAAUGAACUUCUUAGCAUGCAAUUAUAAGCCCUCCAUGAUCUGUUUGUCUCUGACCUGCCUUCCCAACUCUCCAUCUGACUACCACCUCACCCAUUCUCCAUUACCCUCUGCAACCCUGACCUGGUCAGUGCUCCCUGGAAAAGUCCUGUCACUGACCACCUCGAGGCACUUCCUUCUCAGAGCAUUUCUUUUAUUUUCUUAUGCCUUCUUCUGCUUCUUUUUCCCUAAAUUCUAAUGACCAUUUGAAACCUCUGCCAUGAAAUCUUCCUUGAUUCUUCCCCAAAGAAAUGAUCCUACAUCUUUUGUUCCACCGUGAGACUUUGGUUUCUGAUUAUAGCACCUUAGAGAUGAUCCCCGUAUAUUUCUUUCUGACAGACUUUGUGCAGCUGUCAGUCUCUCCAAAUGGGCUGUAUUUUGCUUAAGGCAUGACUUGCCUUAUUUGUCUCUCCAUCCCCAAACGCAUAAUAAACA